AUGCCUUAAACUUAUGAGUAAGGAAAAUAACGAUUCGGGGUGACGUCCGAAUCUUCACUGCUAAUGUGAGACGAAUUUUUGAGCGGGUGAAGUUUGCCCCUAAGGUGACCUGCCUACUUUGCGGGAUGCCUGGGAGUUGCGAUCUGCCCA
rnacentral:snRNA from 1 species